UAUUCCAAGUCACAGGCCCAGUUAAAGAUCUGCAAUGCUCUUGCAGAAUUAAGAUUCAGAGGUUUUUGUACAAGGAAUGGGGGAAAACUUUCAGGAACUGAUCGCUACAGAUGUUUGCCAUGUACGAGGCUAAGUCUCAAACCAACAGAAACUGGAGAGCAGCUCUGAGUUCUGCUGUCGUGAAAAAAAAUGAACCAUUGUUCCCACUCUGCUCUCCCUGCUGCUGAAGGUGGUGAGAGGCUGCGGGAACAAGAUCUCAACCCCAGAUGCCUCGGUUAGGUGCAUAGAAACAGUGGUGUUGCUAGUCUCCUGUGGCAUGGACCACUGCUGAGGAUUGAGGCAAUGCAGUGCAAGUUUGGUGCAGCAAAUCCAGCCAACAAAUGGUAAUCCUCCUCCUUGGAGACAGCACCAGGAGACUGCAAGUAAAAGCAGAAACAGGUAUUUUAAAAAUAAGAAUGGACUUCAUAUGUAAUUCAGCAGGCUCAUCGGAGUCUGUAUCUCUCAGUUCACUGACUGAAUCGCUCUGUCACAGCCCAUUCAUACGAGUGGCCCAUAUCACCCCACACCUUCCUCCACAAAAUGGAAGGUCUUCUCACUAUUUUGAAACAUGCUUAUGCUCCUCCUCUGGAAGGAGGAAGAUGUAUCUGUUUAUAUCUGUUUGUACUUUAGCACUGUUUCAGUUGAUGUCGUCUGUGUUGAACUGUAUUAAUUCUAUGUGUUUUUGUAUUUAAAAUGCUUGAACCCCACCAACUGACAUGCAAAAUUAAAUGGAUAAUUCUCAGAAACAGUAUGUGCUGAUUUAAAAUUACUUUAGUAAUCUUCUAACCAAAGCAGACAGAUAAUGAGCAAGUCCCUAGGUAUGCAUUAGUACAGCAAACUUUCCCAUUUCUGUAUGUCUGUAUGUCAAAGCACUGGAAUUAACAGCACUCAGUAUACUUCUUAUGGAGCUGGUGCAGCUCAUUCAAG
rnacentral:lncRNA from 1 species